rnacentral:rRNA from 1 species
ACUUAAAGUCUCCUGAAGGAACGUUGAAGACGACGACGUUGAUAGGUCGGGUGUGUAAGCGCAGCGAUGCGUUGAGCUAACCGAUACUAAUGAACCGUGAGGCUUAACCUUACAACGCCGAAGGUGUUU